rnacentral:rRNA from 1 species
CUACGGGGGGCAGCAGUGGGGAAUUUUGGACAAUGGGGGCAACCCUGAUCCAGCAAUGCCGCGUGAGUGAAGAAGGCCUUCGGGUUGUAAAGCUCUUUUGUCAGGGAAGAAACAGCAGCUCUAAUACAGUAUGCGAAUGACGGUACCUGAAGAAUAAGCACCGGCUAACUACGUGCCAGCAGCCGCGGUAAUACGUAGGGUGCAAGCGUUAAUCGGAAUUACUGGGCGUAAAGCGUGCGCAGGCGGUUAUGUAAGACAGGCGUGAAAUCCCCGGGCUUAACCUGGGAAUUGCGCUUGUGACUGCAUAGCUAGAGUAUGUCAGAGGGGGGUAGAAUUCCACGUGUAGCAGUGAAAUGCGUAGAGAUGUGGAGGAAUACCAAUGGCGAAGGCAGCCCCCUGGGAUAAUACUGACGCUCAUGCACGAAAGCGUGGGGAGCAAACAGGAUUAGAUACCCCUGUAGUC